GUUAGACUGAAGAUCUAAAGGUCCCUGGUUCGAUCCCGGGUUUCAGCA
rnacentral:tRNA from 1 species